UGGCUCAGAUGGUAGAGCAUGGCACUUUCAAUGCCAGGGUUGUGGGUUUGAUUCCCAC
rnacentral:tRNA from 1 species